GCCGACGUGGCGGAAUUGGCAGACGCGUACGGUUCAGGUCCGUAUCUUUCACGAGGUGAAGGUUCAAGUCCUUUCGUCGGCACCA
rnacentral:tRNA from 1 species